rnacentral:RNase_P_RNA from 1 species
AGAGUUGGUUAGGCAAUCGCCGCUUCUUGAUUGAAGGGGAGGAAAGUCCGGACUCCAAAGGAUAGGGUGAUGGUUAACGACCAUCCAUGGUGACAUGAGGAAUAGGGCCACAGAGACGAGCGUAUUUAGUUACGGUGAAACGCGGUAACCUCCACUCGGAGCAAUCUCAAAUAGGCAGGCGUUGAGGCGAUCCGCUGAGUCUGCGGGUAGAGAGCUCGAGUCCAUUGGUAACAAUGGGCCUAGAUGAAUGAUUGCCCCCGUGCGCAAGCACGGGCGACAGAAUCCGGCUUAUCGACCAACUCUGCAC